rnacentral:lncRNA from 1 species
AGGGCAUCUACUCAAGAUCAAUAAUAGAGAAUUUAUAUCGCAGAUUCAUUAAUUGAUUAUGCUUAUACCACUAAAAAUAUAUAGAAAUUAAUAUCAUAUAUUUCACUGGUGUCUAAUUUAUAUAACAUAUAGACAUAGACAUAUAAUAUUAAUUGUGCUAGAAUAUUAAAAUACAUGAUAAAGCAUUAAACUUGAGAAUUGAGCUUACUAAUCUCAAUGUACAUA